rnacentral:lncRNA from 1 species
UGACAAUAGAAAAUUAUAUUGGGAAGUUGUCAUUUCUACAGUAAAAACAGCUUUUUUUUCAAGUAGUACGAAUUGUGACUUCGGUUUAUCUGUGGAACUAUUUGAACAGAAGGUAAAGCAGUAAUUUUGUUGUAUUUAGAAAGCAAACAGGGUCAUAUUUUUAAAAAUAUAGCGCACUGAAUAUAAAUUUGAGCAUCAUUAAAAUGUGUUCGCUAUGAUGCCAUUUUGUCUCCGGUAUAUACUGAGUUCUGCUUUUAUACUUGUGGAUAUUCGAAUUUAUUUGGCUCAAAAACACCAUUACUUCAAUAUCCCUUUCUUGUUUUUCCUUGGAUAGGUUUUAACAAGAUAGAACUCUAGAUCACUUGGAUCCAAAGACGCUAGAUUAUAAAAUCCUGAUGUGACUUGAUACUACAAAUAGAAUAUGUCUUAUGAUUUAAUACUACAAAUAGAAUGUCUUUUAAGUACAAACUUCAAUGAAUUGAUAAAGUGUAAGGAUAGUGUUUAAAGUCGCUUCAUGUGUAGAAGCGGAAUUACUUUAGUUUAUACACUGUAUAUUGUCGAGAUCACAUGUUGAUAUGACUUAAUACUAGCAACUUGCAAUAAGUGGUCUGUUCUGCUUGUUUAUAAUACUUUAGAGUUUGGACAUUAGAACAUUGUAAUUGCCUGACAGAGACUGUUCGGGCCUGUUUGUAUGGAAGCCGGGCUGGCCCGCUUAGCAAGACAGCCCGGUAAGGUAAGUAAGCAGGAUGAUUUCUCUUGUGUUUAUUUGAGAAAAUUUCAUUCCGCUUACCAGGACAAUUUUGUUGUUUUGACAUUAUUUUGACAGUUGUUAAAAAUAGCUUGCGGCAGUAUCUUUGAACUUUCAUCCCGGCAACCGGGCUAGCCUGCUUAUGAUUGUUUAUGUGGAGAAAUUUCCAUCCUGGUCUUGGCAACCGGGCCUGCCCGCUUGUCCAUAGAAAUGAUAAUUUGUACUAUAAAAAUAACUAGACAGCGAGAUCUCACUUACCGGGCUGUCUCACUUAGCGGGCCAGCCAGUUUCGAUAUAAACAGGCCCUUACACAACUGCUAAAAGCUGCAAGUUUCUUUAAAGCAAUAUCAUCUAUAUCACAGAAUACAGUUUCUGUAGUGACUCUCAUUGUAACUCAGUAGUCUCAGUUAUUCCUUCUCAAGAAAAAUAAAAAAACAAAGCUGUG